rnacentral:rRNA from 1 species
UACGUAGGGUGCGAGCGUUAAUCGGAAUUACUGGGCGUAAAGCGUGCGCAGGCGGUUCUGAAAGUCAGCUGUGAAAGCCCCGGGCUUAACCUGGGAACGGCGGUUGAAACUACAGGACUAGAAUCUGGCAGAGGGGGGUGGAAUUCCACGUGUAGCAGUGAAAUGCGUAGAGAUGUGGAGGAACACCGAUGGCGAAGGCAGCUCGCUGGGACGGUACUGACGCUGAGGCGCGAAAGCGUGGGGAGCAAACAGG